rnacentral:rRNA from 1 species
AACGAACGCUGGCGGCAGGCUUAACACAUGCAAGUCGAGCGCCCCGCAAGGGGAGCGGCAGACGGGUGAGUAACGCGUGGGAAUCUACCCAUCUCUACGGAAUAACGCAUGGAAACGUGUGCUAAUACCGUAUACGUCCUUCGGGAGAAAGAUUUAUCGGAGAUGGAUGAGCCCGCGUUGGAUUAGCUAGUUGGUGGGGUAAAGGCCUACCAAGGCGACGAUCCAUAGCUGGUCUGAGAGGAUGAUCAGCCACACUGGGACGGAGACACGGCCCAGAAUCCUACUGGAGGCAGCAGUGGGGAAUAUUGGACAAUGGGCGCAAGCCUGAUCCAGCCAUGCCGCGUGAGUGAUGAAGGCCCUAGGGUUGUAAAGCUCUUUCACCGGUGAAGAUAAUGACGGUAACCGGAGAAGAAGCCCCGGCUAACUUCGUGCCAGCAGCCGCCGUAACAC